UGUACAAUCCAAGCUAUAUAAGCCAGUGUACUGUGAACACCAUCGGGGUAAGACACGGGAACGCAUGUACAUUUUGGUCAGCUGAUUGGCUCAUACACUGGCUGAGAUUCAAGAAGUCACUGUCAUCAUGAAACUAUUAGUGCUUUCAAUCCUGCUGAUUUCUAUUGGUCUAUUGCCCUCAGUACAAGCCAAUCAAAACAUCCAGGAAUUAACUAAUCAAAAUGCUAACACCUUUCGAAAUAAUCUUGGAUUGUCAAAUCUACCUUUCAUAUAUAAUCACUUGGGGAAAAAACCUGAUUCGUGACUACUAGAAGACGUCACGAUCACUUGGAUGUCUUCAGAUAACCUGAGAAAUUUGUCAUUUUGUCAUGUCAGCUAAAAUAAAACAAAUAUAACAUUUGAAAGU